AUCUGUCUCAGAUCUAUGUGGAUGCAAUCAUUGAUGGUGCUAUGUUACUGACAAAAUACUCAUUUUUAACAUUUAAUUUUUUGUUAAAGAUUUUAUAUUUUGGGAAAUUGAUAUUCCUUUAUUUUUUUGUAAUCAUUACAUUUUGGAGGCAUUAUCUAUAUAAUGAACAAAGAAUAUAACCAUGUAGAUUUACAAGUAUGUAAAUAUAUUCAACCUGUGUUUAUAUCACGUUCUUUUAUUAGCUAAAUGAAAAAAGUUAACAUUUUUACCAAAAUAAUCCUGACGUUAAAAUGCUGUUAGUAGUUAUGCAGUAGCUAAAUAUUUGCAUUUCUAAUACGUGACUGUGUUAUUCUUCUUUUCAAUUCUUGUGCAUUCUUACUGUUGAGGAAUAUUUGUCCAUUUUUGUAAUUAAAACUGCUGUUUAGAUUAGGUUUAUUUCUUUUGUACCAAGUAUUUUGCACUUACAUAUUUAUAUAUAAUUAUACGAGUGAAAGCUAUUAAUUUUUUCAGGUUUUGAUCUGUUUUUUUUUAAUCUACUUAUGGUGCGUAGAAUUAUUUUCUAUUGUGCAAAUAUAUUGAUUAAAUCAUAAUACUAUAUCUUAUCUGCUAUUUGUAUGUACCUGUCUAAAUUGUGUGGCUUUUUAAUGAAAUAAAACAAGACCUCUCUUUAGAAUUC
rnacentral:misc_RNA from 1 species